GUCUACAGUAAUAUCACCCUGAAUGCACCUGAUCUCAUCUGAUCUUGGAAGCAAAGCAGGCUGAGUGAGGUAACUCAGACCCAGAAAGACAUACAUGGUAUGUA
rnacentral:rRNA from 1 species